rnacentral:rRNA from 1 species
AGUGAACGCUGGCGGUAGGCCUAACACAUGCAAGUCGAACGGCAGCACAGUAAGAGCUUGCUCUUACGGGUGGCGAGUGGCGGACGGGUGAGGAAUACAUCGGAAUCUACUUUUUCGUGGGGGAUAACGUAGGGAAACUUACGCUAAUACCGCAUACGACCUACGGGUGAAAGCAGGGGAUCUUCUGACCUUGCGCGAUUGAAUGAGCCGAUGUCGGAUUAGCUAGUUGGCGGGGUAAAGGCCCACCAAGGCGACGAUCCGUAGCUGGUCUGAGAGGAUGGUCAGCCACACUGGAACUGAGACACGGUCCAGACUCCUACGGGAGGCAGCAGUGGGGAAUAUUGGACAAUGGGCGCAAGCCUGAUCCAGCCAUACCGCGUGGGUGAAGAAGGCCUUCGGGUUGUAAAGCCCUAUUGUUGGGAAAGAACAGCAGCAGGUUAAUACCACGCUGUUCUGACGGUAACCAAAGAAUAAGCACCGGCUAACUUCGUG